UUACGGCCAUAUCACGUUGAAACACCGGUUCUCGUAUGAUCACUGAAGUUAAGCAACGUUGAGCUUGGACAGUACCCCGAUAGGUAACCGCUUGAAUAUAGCAGGUGCUGUUA